rnacentral:tRNA from 1 species
GGAGGGGUGGCCGAGUGGCCGAAGGCGGCGGUUUGCUAAACCGUUAAAGGGGGAUAACCCCUUUCGUGGGUUCGAAUCCCAUCCCCUCCG